rnacentral:rRNA from 1 species
CGCCAGGGGGGCAGCUACACAUGCAGUCGAACGGUAGCACAGAGAGCUUGCUCUCGGGUGACGAGUGGCGGACGGGUGAGUAAUGUCUGGGAAACUGCCUGAUGGAGGGGGAUAACUACUGGAAACGGUAGCUAAUACCGCAUAACGUCGCAAGACCAAAGAGGGGGACCUUCGGGCCUCUUGCCAUCAGAUGUGCCCAGAUGGGAUUAGCUAGUAGGUGGGGUAACGGCUCACCUAGGCGACGAUCCCUAGCUGGUCUGAGAGGAUGACCAGCCACACUGGAACUGAGACACGGUCCAGACUCCUACGGGAGGCAGCAGUGGGGAAUAUUGCACAAUGGGCGCAAGCCUGAUGCAGCCAUGCCGCGUGUAUGAAGAAGGCCUUCGGGUUGUAAAGUACUUUCAGCGGGGAGGAAGGUGAUGAGGUUAAUAACCUUGUCGAUUGACGUUACCCGCAGAAGAAGCACCGGCUAACUCCGUGCCAGCAGCCGCGGUAAUACGGAGGGUGCAAGCGUUAAUCGGAAUUACUGGGCGUAAAGCGCACGCAGGCGGUCUGUCAAGUCGGAUGUGAAAUCCCCGGGCUCAACCUGGGAACUGCAUUCGAAACUGGCAGGCUAGAGUCUUGUAGAGGGGGGUAGAAUUCCAGGUGUAGCGGUGAAAUGCGUAGAGAUCUGGAGGAAUACCGGUGGCCAAGGCGGCCC